rnacentral:rRNA from 1 species
UCUUCCACAAUGGGCGCAAGCCUGAUGGAGCAACACCGCGUGAGUGAAGAAGGGUUUCGGCUCGUAAAGCUCUGUUGUUAGAGAAGAACGUGCGUGAGAGUAACUGUUCACGCAGUGACGGUAUCUAACCAGAAAGUCACGGCUAACUAAGUGACAGCAGCCGCGGUAAUACGUAGGUGGCAAGCGUUAUCCGGAUUUAUUGGGCGUAAAGCGAGCGCAGGCGGUUUGAUAAGUCUGAUGUGAAAGCCUUUGGCUUAACCAAAGAAGUGCAUCGGAAACUGUCAGACUUGAGUGCAGAAGAGGACAGUGGAACUCCAUGUGUAGCGGUGGAAUACGUAGAUAUAUGGAAGAACACCAGUGGCGAAGGCGGCUGUCUGGUCUGCAACUGACGCUGAGGCUCGAAAGCAUGGGUAGCGAACAGG